UCGUGUUCUCGUCAAAGAGAAUGCAACACAAACCAACUGUUCUCAGUUACUGCUCGAUUGGAAUCUCCUUUUGAUUUGGAAAUAUGAAUAGCACAUUUUCCUUGAUGUUUCUAGCGCUAGUUUUAUUGUCUUUUGUAAGCUGGGGAAGAACAUUCACACCCAACAUGAAUUGUCCUGCACACGUGUGCCCAAGACGAAAAGUGGCGCGAAAAUUCAGUGAUCAACAGGAGGAUUUUAUAAAGGCAUACUGUGACAAAGUCCGUCCGUGUAACAUGGCAAACGGAAAACGAAGUCUUCUUCGCGAAGAAGCCCCACUUGAGAGGAACCGGGAACAACUUUGACCUGAAGUCUAAGAUGACCAUCACUAUAGCUGGAGGAAGGUCAAAAUUUAUUUAGACGACUGGAUAUUUUCUUUAACUUAUGUAUAUGAUAAAAAAAGAUGAUGUGAAUAUUUAUGUCUGUAAUUAUAAACGUGAGGUAGUAAAUUGUGAGGACCAAGCAUCCUUUUUAAAACUUCAGUCACGAGUAUCUAAUAAGGGACCGAUUCUAUUUCUUGAAUAAAUUUAUCAAAUCAA